GUUCAGUUGUUAUUGAAUGUAUUUCAAGCAUUCGAAUCUUAUUUAUUUAAAAUCGAUAUAUUUAAAAAAAAAAUGAAAACUAUCGUAGUUAUUUUUGCAUUUUGCAUUUGCGUUAGUGCAAUGACACUUGAAGAAUUGAAAACCUCAUUACUUGAUGUGCAACAAACUUGCAAGGCAGAAUCUGGCAUUGAUCAAC